GAGGGUAUAGCUCAGUGGUAGAGCACAUGCUUAGCAUACGCGAGCUCAUGGGUUCAAUCCCCAGUACCUCUG
rnacentral:tRNA from 1 species